rnacentral:rRNA from 1 species
CUUAGUGGCGGACGGGUGAGUAACACGUGAGCAACCUGCCCCUCAGAGAGGGAUAACGUUUGGAAACGAACGCUAAUACCUCAUAACAUCGGGAUGCGGCAUCGCAACCUGAUCAAAGAUUUUAUCGCUGAGGGAUGGGCUCGCGUCCGAUUAGGUAGUUGGUGAGAUAACAGCCCACCAAGCCGACGAUCGGUAGCCGGACUGAGAGGUUGAACGGCCACAUUGGGACUGAGACACGGCCCAGACUCCUACGGGAGGCAGCAGUGGGGGAUAUUGCACAAUGGGGGAAACCCUGAUGCAGCGACGCCGCGUGAGGGAAGACGGUUUUCGGAUUGUAAACCUCUGUCUUCGGGGACGAACAAAUGACGGUACCCGAGGAGGAAGCCACGGCUAACUACGUGCCAGCAGCCGCGGUAAUACGUAGGUGGCAAGCGUUGUCCGGAAUUACUGGGUGUAAAGGGAGCGUAGGCGGGGAUGCAAGUUGAAUGUUUAAACUAUCGGCUCAACCGGUAGUCGCGUUCAAAACUGCAUCUCUUGAGUGGAGUAGAGGCAGGCGGAAUUCCUAGUGUAGCGGUGAAAUGCGUAGAUAUUAGGAGGAACACCAGUGGCGAAGGCGGCCUGCUGGGCUCUAACUGACGCUGAGGCUCGAAAGCGUGGGUAGCAAACAGGAUUAGAUACCCUGGUAGUCCACGCCGUAAAC